GCAAAGGAGAGCCCCAACGGCGCAGCGCUUAGGACGCUGUCCCAUAGGGGUCCGCCGGUUCGAAUCCGGUCCCGCGCA
rnacentral:tRNA from 1 species